GAUGGGCCAUGGCUCCUGGAAUGGGCUAUGGCUGAAAUCUACAUGGCCCCAGGAUGGGACUGCGGCCGAUCAGGUUGUUGGUGGGGUAAUGGCCCACCAAGCCUAUAACCGGUGCGGGCUCUGAGAGGAGGAGCCCGGAGAUGGGCACUGAGACAAGGGCCCAGGUCCUAUGGGGCGCAGCAGGCGCGAAACCUCCGCAAUGGGCGAAAGCCCGACGGGGUCAGUCCGAGUGGUUCCCGCUGAGGGAACCUUUUGCCAGCUGUAAACAGGCUGGCGAAUAAGGGGUGGGCAAGUUUGGUGUCAGCCGCCGCGGUAAUACCAGCACCCCGAGUGGUCGGGACGAUUAUUGGGCCUAAAGCAUCCGUAGCCGGCCCAGUAAGUCCUCCGUUAAAUCCAACGGCUCAACCGUUGGGCUGCGGGGGAUACUGCUGGGCUAGGGGACGGGAGAGGCGAGGGGUAUUCCCGGGGUAGGGGUAAAAUCCACUGAUCCCGGGAGGACCACCAGUGGCGAAGGCGCCUCGCUAGAACGUGCCCGACGGUGAGGGAUGAAAGCUGGGGGAGCGAACCGGAUUAGAUACCCGGGUAGUCCCAGCCGUAAACGAUGUAGGCUCGGUGUUGGGCUGCCUCAGUGGCAGCCCAGUGCCGCAGGGAAGCCGUUAAGCCUACCGCCUGGGGAGUACGGCCGCAAGGCUGAAACUUAAAGGAAUUGGCGGGGGAGCACCACAAGGGGUGAAGCCUGCGGUUUAAUUGGAUC
rnacentral:rRNA from 1 species